rnacentral:rRNA from 1 species
GACGAACGCUGGCGGCGUGCCUAACACAUGCAAGUCGAGCGAAGUAUAUCUGAGGGAAAUUUUCGGAUGGAACUUAGAUAUAUCUUAGCGGCGGACGGGUGAGUAACGCGUGGGUAAUCUACCUCGUAGUUCGGGAUAACAGGCCGAAAGGCUUGCUAAUACCGGAUGAGUUCAUGCUUAUGCAUAUAGGCAUGAAGAAAGGGCUAGCCCGCUAUGAGAUGAGCCCGCGUCCCAUUAGCUUGUUGGUGGGGUAAUGGCCUACCAAGGCAACGAUGGGUAGCCGGCCUGAGAGGGUGUACGGCCACACUGGGACUGAGACACGGCCCAGACUCCGUACGGGGGGCAGCAGUAGGGAAUUUUCGGCAAUGGGCGAAAGCCUGACCGAGCGACGCCGCGUGAGGGACGAAGGCCUUCGGGUUGUAAACCUCUGUCUGGGGGGAUGAGAACGGACGGUACCCCCGGAGGAAGCCCCGGCUAACUACGUG